UCAUGAUAUCAACAUGUGCCCCUCGUGCAGAUCUUGGUGGUAGUAGCAAAUAUUCAAAUGAGAAAUUUGAAGAGUGAAGUGGGGAAAUGUUCCAUGUGAACAUCACUUGGACAUGGCCAGUUAUUCUAUCCUAAGAGAUGGGGAAUCCUUGUAUCAAGGGUGCACUCUACAUGAAUAUUGAAAGAGAAUUGGGUUAAUAUUCCCGAACCAGGACAUGGUGGUGGAUGAAAAUGUUAGGAAAUCCGGAGAUGUCAUCAAGGGCCUAGGAAAAGUUAUCUUUUCUUUUUAACGACUUUCCCACCCUGAAAUCGGUUCAACUGGAGAUACGGUCCAACAUCUGAAAGAGAACCACACGUCUUGCAGUGUUUGGUGCCCCCUCGACGGCCAUUGAAAAUAUUGAUAACCAAGUACCAUCCAUGCCCGAUUGUACUCAUAUCUGCCUCCUUGGAUUUUUCAAUGUCCACUAGGUUAGCGAUCUUGAUGAGAUAAUAUCUACCUUGGGCUACUU
rfam:Picea glauca, whole genome shotgun sequence.